CGCGCGCGUUCCCCUCCCCGACCAGGCGCUCUCCGAUUUUGCUGCGAAGGGGGGAGGAGGCGGAGGCCCGAUCGACCGCGGGAGGUAGGUGGAUAGCUAGCUCGCUCGCUCGCGUCUGCGCGCGAUGUCGUGGCUCCGCAACGCGGUGCACCGCGCGGUGGAGGCGAGCGGCGGCCCUAGCUCCCUCCUCACCCGCACCGUCCGCACCUCCCUCCACACCGUUGUCCACCACGCGGUCCACGCCGGACAGGCCGUCGCCGGUGGCGCCAGGCUCAUCAACGACCGCAUCGGGAGCCGGAGCUACAAGAGCAUGAGGCUGACCGCCAAGAGGCUGGAGGACUCGGCGCUGUCCUACAAAGGGGUGGAGCGGGUGCAGCUGCUGCGCCGGUGGCUCCUCGCGCUCAAGGAGACCCAGCGCGCGGCCGCGGCGGCGAAGGAGCCACAGCACGCGGCCGAUCCCGAUCAAGCACUACCCGUGUUGGACCUGUAUAUGGAUUACGAGACCGCGGCCGAGCCGAUGAACUUUAUCCAUGUCUUCCUAUACAGCCAAGCGCUUGAAUGCAUCGUCUUGUCUAUGAUUCUGGAAGUCCCAACGGAAGAAGAAGUUUCCCUUCUCUCAGAGAUUUUUGGAAUGUGUCUUUAUGGAGGAAAAGAUGUCCACAAUGCAAUUCUUAAUAGCAUACAGGAGUUGGCAAAGUUAUUUUCAAGUUACCAUGACGAAGUUUUGGCAAAACGUGGUGAGCUGCUUCAGUUUGCUCAAUGUGCAAUCUCAGGGUUAAAAAAAAAUGCUGACAUUGCAAGAUUAGAUGAUGAAAUCGUGCAGCUACAACAACGGAUAAAUGGAAUGGACGCUCUUCAAUACAAUUCGACCAGUAGGCGUAGCAAAGCAUCUCAAACAAUAGCAGAGGGUUUCAGAACUGCAAUUAAUGAGGUUCACUUGUGCUCUAGAAUGGAAGAACUUGUACUGAUGAAGAAAUCGAUACACCAUGGCAACUCAUACGAGACUUAUUUUGAGAAGGUUGAUAAAUUGAAGGUUUUGUCAGAAUCACUUGCAAAUUCAGCUGCAAAAGCGGAAAGGCGAAUUAUGGAGAAUAGGCUACAAAAGGAAGAAUCUCUUAUCUUCCGAGUUACCAAAACAAAUGAAGUUAGUGGAACUGAAAAGGAACUAGUGGCUGAGAUCUCUGGGCUUGAGCACCAAAAGGAUCAACUUGAGGCCGAACUAAAGAAAGUAAAUACUAAACUGAAGGCGGCCUUCAUGAAGCUUAAAAAAACUAGAGAGGAGAGAGACCAAUUCGAUGAAGCCAGCAAUCAGAUUGUGCUACACUUGAAAGCAAAGGAGGAAGAACUAUCAAGAUCUAUUGCUUCCUGCAAAGUUGAGUCAAGCACUGUCAGUGCGUGGAUCAACUUUUUAGAAGAUACAUGGAAGUUGCAGUCUUUUUAUGAAGAACUAAGUCAAAAACAGGCCAAUGAUGAACUGGAUAGGUGUGCAACUUGCUUUGCAAAAUUGAUUAAUCAUCAUGUUGAUACACGAGUGGAAGAGCUGAGCACUUGCAUUGAUCGUAUAAAGACCUUUGUUGAUAACUUGAAAAUAUUUGACGACAGAUCAGUAUCAGCGGAAGACGGAAGCAAUGGUUCGUCCAAGCAAUCAAAUCCACGUAAAUACCUUGAGGAAGAAUAUCUGGAAGCUGAGAAAAAGGUUGUAGCAGCAUUCAGUUUGAUUGAUAACAUCAGAACAAUAUAUUUUUUCAAUCAAGAGCAUCAAGCCAGGAGAGACGACCCUGAUGUCAAAAAACUAUUUGCCAACAUAGACAAGCUGCGGGUCGAGUUUGAAUCGGUUCCACGGCCAGUGCUACAGAUCGAGAUCAAAGCGAAAGAAGAGAGAACAAAACAAUCUCGUUCAAGCUUGCAGGCCGCUGGCUCACCGAGAAACGCAGGGCACGAGUCCCAAAUCCCAGCCCAGCUCAGGACACGUCUGCCAUCAGAGUCCGACUCAGAACUGGCCAGAUUUGACCCAGAGUACAAGGAGUACUCGGGUGACGACAUAAGUGGGUGGGAGUUUGAUGAUCUUGAGGACGAGGCAGAGGUAACACCAGGCUUCCAGGACUCCAGUGACAUGCAUAGGCAGCAAAUUGGACUCACAGAUCCAGAAUAGUUCAUGCACGUAGAAUCUCACUAGCCUAAGAUGUGGAGAGCACAUAGGUGCACAAAACUGUACAUUGUAUGUAGUCUUCGUUUUCGGUACAGAGAAGCGUUUGCUUCAUCUUGUGGACGUUGUUGUGUUGUCUUCCUGCACAUAUGUCGGACAUUGGUAGAAGAGCCGUUUACGAUUUGUGAUGCGUCAACCUCGCUGUAUUGAGUAUUUGACCAUGCGUGCACGUACGUACAAAAUUUGCUGGGGUGUAUGGGUAUCCUGACCUGCAGAAAGAUCAAAGACGCUAAAAGAAAUGGGAGAAAAACAAAAGAAGCUCUCAACCCUUUCUCUGCACAAAGCAACAAGGGGGAAGAAAAUAUGGGAAAGUACUGUCACAGUUGUACUAGUAGUAACAGCGGAGGUAUCAUCUUAAAGCAUCUCCAAUAGAAGUCCU